UACGGAGGAUGCGAGCGUUAUUCGGAUUUAUUGGGUUUAAAGGGUGCGUAGGCGGAUCGCUAAGUCAGUGGUCAAAUUGAGGGGCUCGACCCCUUCCCGCCAUUGAAACUGGCGCUCUUGAGUGGAAGAGAAGUAUGCGGAAUGCGUGGUGUAGCGGUGAAAUGCAUAGAUAUCACGCAGAACCCCGAUUGCGAAGGCAGCAUGCCGGCUUCCGACUGACGCUGAAGCACGAAAGCGUGGGGAGCGAACAGG
rnacentral:rRNA from 1 species